rnacentral:sRNA from 1 species
GUUGUGAAGUUGUAUCUACUUCU